UCCGGUUUGUCACCGGCAGUCUGAAUAGAAAAAUCCAACUAUUCAUAAGGGUUGCGCUCGUUGAUGGACUUAACCAAACAUCUCACGACACGAGCUGACGACGGCCAUGCAACACCUGUCACCUUGCUCAAUAAAGCACUCUCACCUUUCGGCAAAAUUCAAGGGAUGUCAAGCCCUGGUAAGGUUCUUCGUUUAUCAUCGAAUUGAAGAACACGCUCCACCGCUUGUGCGGGUCCCCGUCAAUUCCUUUAUGUUUUAAUCUUGCGAUCGUACUCCACAGGCGGGAUGCUUAACGCGUUAGCUUCGCUACUGAAGGGGUCGAUACCUCCAACAGCUAGCAUCCAUAGUUUACGGCGU
rnacentral:misc_RNA from 1 species